rnacentral:rRNA from 1 species
AUUGAACGCUGGCGGCAGGCCUAACACAUGCAAGUCGAGCGGAUGAGAGGAGCUUGCUUCUCGAUUCAGCGGCGGACGGGUGAGUAAUGCCUAGGAAUCUGCCUGGUAGUGGGGGACAACGUUUCGAAAGGAACGCUAAUACCGCAUACGUCAUACGGGAGAAAGCAGGGGACCUUCGGGCCUUGCGCUAUCAGAUGAGCCUAGGUCGGAUUAGCUAGUUGGUGAGGUAAUGGCUCACCAAGGCGACGAUCCGUAACUGGUCUGAGAGGAUGAUCAGUCACACUGGAACUGAGACACGGUCCAGACUCCUACGGGAGGCAGCAGUGGGGAAUAUUGGACAAUGGGCGAAAGCCUGAUCCAGCCAUGCCGCGUGUGUGAAGAAGGUCUUCGGAUUGUAAAGCACUUUAAGUUGGGAGGAAGGGUACUUACCUAAUACGUGAGUAUUUUGACGUUACCGACAGAAUAAGCACCGGCUAACUCUGUGCCAGCCGCCGCGUAAAAC